rnacentral:rRNA from 1 species
CCAAUAGCGUAUAUUAAAGUUGUUGCAGUUAAAAAGCUCGUAGUUGAACUUCGGGGUCUACCCAUUGGUCAGGCUUAAUUGUCUGCACUGGUGAGAUGGAUCUCUACCUUCUGAGGAACUUUCAUGCCAUUUAUUUGGUGUGGUUGGAAAUCAGGACUGUUACUUUGAAAAAAUUAGAGUGUUUAAAGCAGACUAUCGUCUGAAUACAUUAGCAUGGAAUAAUGAAAUAGGACGGACUGAUUCUAUUUCGUUGGUUUCUAGGAUCACCGUAAUGAUUAAUAGGGAUAGUUGGGGGCAUUAGUAUUCAAUUGUCAGAGGUGAAAUUCUUGGAUUUAUUGAAGACUAACUACUGCGAAAGCAUUUGCCAAGGAUGUUUUCAUUAAUCAAGAACGAAAGUUAGGGGAUCGAAGACGAUCAGAUACCGUCGUAGUCUUAACCAUAAACUAUGCCGACUAGGGAUCGGACGAAGUUAAUUUUAUAAUGACGCGUUCGGCGCCUUACG